rnacentral:piRNA from 1 species
AGGAGCCUUUGGACUAAUACAAGCAUC